UUAGGUAUGAAAGUGAUGACAAGAGUAUACAUCAGACGGAUGAUGAAGGUGCUUCUGAUUUGGAGAUACCUGAAUUGGAUGAUGGUCCUUAUCAUGAAGGACAACAUACACCGUUCGUAUCAUCAAAAUGUCAUCAAUCAUUGGUUGAGGAAGAUAGUUGGGUUGGCAAUGGAACUUCUGCUCAGUUUCAGUUUAGGGAGAAGCUUAUGGAUCUUCUUAAAAUUCCCUAUGACCAAAAUGAGUAUGAAAGUCUAUGGCAAGAAGUAACUAGCAAAACACCAGUGCAAGGUGCUAGAGAGUUACGUUGUGGAAUAUUGAAACUAUAUUCAACGAACACUG